CAUGAGUGUAUAUUAAUAUUGUUGUAGUUAAAAAGCUCGUAGCCUGACGUAAGAAUAUUUCAUAUGAUUUUGAAAUUUCACUUCGAUAGGCGAAAGUCUAUCGUUGCGAUAAUUCAUAAUCAAUAUUCUUUUAACGACUUGAAUUGAGCGGUUUCGGCCGUUCCGAUUGAAGUCUUUUUACUUUGAAAAAAUUAGAGUGUUCAAAGCAAGGAGUUUUUAAAUUUAAAAAAACUAUUACAACCUUUUGAAUAGUUCAGCAUGGGAUAAUAAAAUAUGACCUUUUUAUAAUUAUAAUUUUUUUUGUUGGUUUCAUUAUGAUACUUUAGCCAAUUACAAUUAGGUAAUGAUUAAUAGGGACAAUUGGGGAUAUUUAUAUUUAGUAGCUAGAGGUGAAAUUCUUGGAUUUACUAAAGAUAAACUUCUGCGAAGGCAUUUAUCAAGAGUGUUUUCAUUGG
rnacentral:rRNA from 1 species